GACGAACGCUGGCGGCGUGCUUAACACAUGCAAGUCGAGCGGUAAGGCCCUUUUGGGGGUACACGAGCGGCGAACGGGUGAGUAACACGUGGGUGACCUGCCCUCAGCUCUGGGAUAACGCCUGGGAAACUGGGUCUAAUACUGGAUAUGACCUUUCCUCGCAUGGGGUUGGGUGGAAAGUUUUUUCGGCUGGGGAUGGGCCCGCGGCCUAUCAGCUUGUUGGUGGGGUGAUGGCCUACCAAGGCGAC
rnacentral:rRNA from 1 species